AUUGAACGCUUGCGGCAGGCCUAACACAUGCAAGUCGAACGAGUGGCGGACGGGUGAGUAAUGUCUGGGAAACUGCCCGAUGGAGGGGGAUAACUACUGGAAACGGUAGCUAAUACCGCAUACCAUCGGAUGUGCCCAGAUGGGUUUAGCUAGUAGGUGGGGUAACGGCUCAGCUAGGCGACGAUCCCUAGCUGGUCUGAGAGGAUGACCGGGCACACUGGGACUGAAACACGGUCCAGACUCCUACGUGGUGGAGCAGUAGGGGAUAAUGAACAAGGGGCGCAAGCCUGAUACAGCCAUGCCGCGUGUAUGAAGAAGGCCUUCGGGUUGUAAAGUACUUUCAGCGAGGAAGCGUUACUCGCAGAAGAAGCACCGGCUAACUCCGUGCCAGCAGCCGCGGUAAUAC
rnacentral:rRNA from 1 species